GGAUGUGAGGGCAAUUUGCCUACAACAUUUGUCACCCCAUUGAUUGCCAAAAUUGAUUCAACUGAUCUGGCAGGUUAGUUGGGUGUUCCCUUCCUCCCUCAGUGUUCCAUGUGCUUCUCUCCAGAACCUGUGUGCUCAGUUGAAGAGGACGACCACCACUGAUAGAAGAGAACCAUUCCUUGUUCAAGGGUAUAUGAGUGGCUGAACUCCCCUGCUAAAACCUUCAAACAAGCUUACAAAGUCCAAAUAGGCAGCAACAUCUAAUCCAUAGUAAAUUGAACAUGUAAGAUCUUU
rnacentral:snRNA from 1 species